GUCCCUGUUGAGCAAUGAAUAGCGCGUUGGACUCUUAAUCCAAAAGACGUGGGAUCGAAUCCCUCCUGGGAUG